rnacentral:rRNA from 1 species
GGCCGUACCAUGCUGAAUAUACCGGUUCUCGUUAGAUCACCGAAGUCAAGCAUCAUUGGGCGCGGUCAGUACUUGGGUGGGUGACCACCUGGGAACACCACGUGCCGUU